GUGCUCACUUUGGCAGCCCAUAUACUGAAAUCAGAAAGAUACAGAGAAGAUGAGUAUGGCCCCUGCAUAAGAAUGACAUGCAAAAUCGUGACGUGUUCCAUUAAAAA
ensembl:snRNA U6 U6 spliceosomal RNA